rnacentral:misc_RNA from 1 species
AACAUCGCGCACCUGCGGGAACCUGCGGAGGGAUCAUUAUCGUGGCGCUUUUGCGCCGUCGAGAUAACACCCUUGCCUUUAUGAGUACCUUGGUUCCCUCCCCCGACCUCCGGGGAGCGGGAGGGACCUCGUCUGUUUCCCCGCGAGGGGACCUACCUACAAACACGCUGUAAUCACCUGUAACCGUCUGAUAAAACAAACAAAAAAUCAAAACUUUCAACAACGGAUCUCAGAUCGGAA